rnacentral:rRNA from 1 species
ACGUAAAGAACCUGCCCUCAGGUCUGGGAUAACCACGAGAAAUCGGGGCUAAUACCGGAUGGGUCAUCGGACCGCAUGGUCCGAGGAUGAAAGGCGCUUCGGCGUCGCCUGGGGAUGGCUUUGCGGUGCAUUAGCUAGUUGGUGGGGUAAUGGCCCACCAAGGCGACGAUGCAUAGCCGACCUGAGAGGGUGAUCGGCCACACUGGGACUGAGACACGGCCCAGACUCCUACGGGAGGCAGCAGUAGGGAAUCUUCCACAAUGGACGAAAGUCUGAUGGAGCAACGCCGCGUGAACGAUG